UUAUAUAAAGUAAUUUUUACAUUUAAUUUCGAAUUAAAAAUUGAUUAAUAUUUAAUCUAUAUAUA
rnacentral:tRNA from 1 species